rnacentral:rRNA from 1 species
GAUGAACGCUGGCGGCGUGCCUAAUACAUGCAAGUCGAGCGAACAGACGAGGAGCUUGCUCCUCUGACGUUAGCGGCGGACGGGUGAGUAACACGUGGAUAACCUACCUAUAAGACUGGGAUAACUUCGGGAAACCGGAGCUAAUACCGGAUAAUAUAUUGAACCGCAUGGUUCAAUAGUGAAAGACGGUUUUGCUGUCACUUAUAGAUGGAUCCGCGCCGCAUUAGCUAGUUGGUAAGGUAACGGCUUACCAAGGCGACGAUGCGUAGCCGACCUGAGAGGGUGAUCGGCCACACUGGAACUGAGACACGGUCCAGACUCCUACGGGAGGCAGCAGUAGGGAAUCUUCCGCAAUGGGCGAAAGCCUGACGGAGCAACGCCGCGUGAGUGAUGAAGGUCUUCGGAUCGUAAAACUCUGUUAUUAGGGAAGAACAAAUGUGUAAGUAACUAUGCACGUCUUGCCGGUACCUAAUCAGAAAGCCAAGGAUAACUACGUG